rnacentral:miRNA from 1 species
ACUUUUCUUAUUUGUCUUUAAGUU